AUUGAACGCUGGCGGCAGGCCUAACACAUGCAAGUCGAGCGGAUGAAGGGAGCUUGCUCCUGGAUUCAGCGGCGGACGGGUGAGUAAUGCCUAGGAAUCUGCCUGGUAGUGGGGGAUAACGUCCGGAAACGGGCGCUAAUACCGCAUACGUCCUGAGGGAGAAAGUGGGGGAUCUUCGGACCUCACGCUAUCAGAUGAGCCUAGGUCGGAUUAGCUAGUUGGUGGGGUAAAGGCCUACCAAGGCGACGAUCCGUAACUGGUCUGAGAGGAUGAUCAGUCACACUGGAACUGAGACACGGUCCAGACUCCUACGGGAGGCAGCAGUGGGGAAUAUUGGGCAAUGGGCGAAAGCCUGAUCCAGCCAUGCCGCGUGUGUGAAGAAGGUCUUCGGAUCGUAAAGCACUUUAAGUUGGGAGGAAGGGCAGUAAAUUAAUACCUUGCUGUUUUGACGUUACCAACAGAAUAAGCACCGGCUAACUUCGUG
rnacentral:rRNA from 1 species